rnacentral:rRNA from 1 species
AGAGUUUGAUCAUGGCUCAGAUUGAACGCUGGCGGUAUGCUUAACACAUGCAAGUCGAACGGCAACAGUCCCUCACCUAGAAAUUUCUUAAAAAGAGAUUUGUAGGUGAGGGAGCUGACGAGUGGCGGACGGGUGCGUAAUGUAUAGGAAUCUGCCUAGUAGUGGGGGACAACUCGGAGAAAUUCGAGCUAAUACCGCAUAAGCCCUACGGGGGAAAACGGGGGAUCUUCGGACCUCGUGCUAUUAGAUGAGCCUAUAUUAGAUUAGCUUGUUGGUGAGGUAAUGGCUUACCAAGGCGACGAUCUAUAGCUGGUCUGAGAGGAUGAUCAGCCACACUGGGACUGAGACACGGCCCAGACUCCUGCGGGAGGCAGCAGUGGGGAAUAUUGGACAAUGGGCGAAAGCCUGAUCCAGCAAUACCGCGUGUGUGAAGAAGGCCUGAGGGUUGUAAAGCACUUUCAAUUGGGAGGAAUACCUAAUAGUUAAUAGCUAUUAGAUUGAC